UUACGGGUGCUAGUUUGAACC
rnacentral:misc_RNA from 1 species